AGUGAACGCUGGCGGUAGGCCUAACACAUGCAAGUCGAACGGCAGCACAGUAAGAGCUUGCUCUUACGGGUGGCGAGUGGCGGACGGGUGAGGAAUACAUCGGAAUCUACUUUUUCGUGGGGGAUAACGUAGGGAAACUUACGCUAAUACCGCAUACGACCUACGGGUGAAAGCAGGGGAUCUUCGGACCUUGCGCGAUUGAAUGAGCCGAUGUCGGAUUAGCUAGUUGGCGGGGUAAAGGCCCACCAAGGCGACGAUCCGUAGCUGGUCUGAGAGGAUGAUCAGCCACACUGGAACUGAGACACGCUCCAGACUCCUACGGGGGGCAGCUGUGGGGAAUAUUGGACAAUGGGCGCAAGCCUGAUCCAGCCAUACCGCGUGGGUGAAGAAGGCCUUCGGGUUGUAAAGCCCUUUUGUUGGGAAAGAAAAGCAGCAGGUUAAUACCCCGCUGUUCUGACGGUACCCAAAGAAUAAGCACCGGCUAACUUCGUG
rnacentral:rRNA from 1 species